UACGGGGGGGGCAAGCGUUGUUCGGAAUUACUGGGCGUAAAGGGCGUGUAGGCGGCCAACUAAGUCCGACGUGAAAUCCCCAGGCUUAACCUGGGAACUGCGUCGGAUACUGGAUGGCUUGAAUCCGGGAGAGGGAUGCGGAAUUCCAGGUGUAGCGGUGAAAUGCGCAGGAUAUCGGGAGGAACACCGAUGGCGGAAGGCAGCUCGCGUGGGACGGUACUGACGCUGAGGCGCGAAAGCGUGGGGAGCGAACGGAUUAGACUACC
rnacentral:rRNA from 1 species